rnacentral:misc_RNA from 1 species
AAGGUUAUGUGCUUCUUUUGUCUGGGAUAUAAAUUUUAAUCUACAUUGGGGUUUGAUGUUUGAACGUUAUUUAUGUGUUAUAUUUAAUGAUGGGUCACACUACCUAUAAUCGCAUGCUAGGAAUUCCUUGUGGUUGAUAGAUUUCUGCAAAGUAGAAUACAGUAUUAAAAAUUUUAGUUAUUAAUUUUACUCCAUAAAGAUUUUGUCAUGACAUAAAAGAUAAAAAUUUGUAGAAUUUUUCUGUAGAGAAAGGCAUAUACAUAGACUUGCUAUAAAUUAUAAUAUGCUGAUCAAAAUCAGAGUGCAGGGUGAUUUAGUUAUAAAAUUUGAAAGAUUCCCUUCUUUUAUGUUCUAUGCUACUUUGGCGGACAACUGUCUUUGCAUCCAAUACGCAAGCUUUUGGGGGCCUAAUGCAUUUCUGAAUAUGGAUUGUUGUUUUCUUUGACCGAUUAAACUUCAUUUUUGUUGCUCUAGGUGAUAAUCAGUAGCCCUUAGAAUACUCACAUCAUGAAUGCAUAUUUUUUGUUCUAUAAAAGAUUUCCUUCUUUUAUGUUCUAUGAAACACAAAGCAUAUGUAAAUUGCAAUCGUAUGGAGUGGAGGAAUAUAUUCAUAUAAUU